UACGUAGGGUGCAAGCGUUGUCCGGAAUUAUUGGGCGUAAAGAGCUUGUAGGCGGUUUGUCGCGUCUGCUGUGAAAAUUUCGGGGCUCAACCCCGAACCUUGACAUGUGGGUACGGGCAGGACUAGAGUGUGGUAGGGGAGACUGGAAGUCCUGGUGUAGCUGGUGAAAUGCGCAGGAUAAUCAGGAGGAACACCGAUGGCGAAGGGCAGG
rnacentral:rRNA from 1 species